GGGGCAGUAGCUCAGUUGGGAGAGCGCGACGUUCGCAAUGUCGAGGUCAGGGGUUCGAUCCCCCUCUGCUCCACCA
rnacentral:tRNA from 3 species